rnacentral:lncRNA from 1 species
AGCCCUGUGCACUUUGGACAGUCAUUGUCUUAGAUGAGAUUUGGAAAUCAAAAAGCAUUUCCUGGGGGAGAGGGGAAGGCAAGAGGGGAGUAAAAUGAUCAAAAUGCAGUAUUUGUAUGUACAAUUGCCCAGGAGGAAUGUAAUUAUUAUAUAUCAAAAAUAUAUAAUACUACGAAUAAAAUAAAAACAAAACAAAAAGUCUUUCCCAAAGGCACGGAGACUGGUUAUAGGGAAAAACUGGGUGAAGGGGAGUAAUGAAGCCCCUUCCUUGGGUUAGCUAGCUCUGUCUCCCACACCCAACAGAAAUGAUCCCACAGGACUUCCUCAUAAUGCACUCCCACAUCAAGAAGUGUUAACCCCAGAGGAAGCGACUUUCCUCCGGUCGGGUUGGGGUCGGUCGAGGGGGAAAGGGUUCCUAAAAAGAUGAGGGAAAACAGCCCAGAGAGUCUUACAGAUGAAGUUUAAGGCCCAAAUUACCUCUAUCUUCACUCUCUUCCCUGUGGCCAUUUAUCCAGGCAAUUAUUUCUAUUCAUGCCCUCCUUAUUUCUCUUUCUUUGGCAAAACUCCAGAAAUGAAAUCUCUGCUUCUCCUUGGGGGUUUUUCAUUCCUCCAGGGAUCCCUGUAGAUGAGACCACUUUUCAUGAAGACAGUUUCUGCCAACCCCAGCCACCAGCCAUGGUGUGGGGCCCAGAACUCUCUUCUGAGAGGUCUCCAAUCCCAUUCCUCUGGACUACAUUUUAAAGAAAGGGGAGCACUCUCUCUUACAUCAAGAAGUGACCCUAGGGCCGGGGGAUUUAGCUCAGUGGUUCUGCCGCUUGCCUCCAAGUUCAAGGACCUGAGUUUGAGCCCCAGUACGGAAAAAAAAAAAAAAAAGAAGUGACCCUAAAUUGAAGUCCUAGAAAGCUGGCCCAGGAUCUUGUUGCCUCUGGGCAGACCUGGCUCAAGAAAGAGAGGGAAGGGCGGGGGAAUUUAGCUCAGUGGCAACAAGGCUGCCUUUCAAGAACUAGGUCCUGAGUUAGAUCCCCACCCCCAUACCAAAAAAAAGGCAGGGGGGUGGUGGGAGGGGGGACAGCAGCAAAGACUUGUGCCCCUCUUUUUGUAAGGCGAGGCAAUCCAGGGUAAUCAGUUUACCCUCUGCCCUACCCCCACCACUCACAAGGAAUCUUCUCUGUCUCAGGACUAUUAAAUGGAGAUGGGGGAGAAUUGAAGACGCCCCUUUCCAAAGGCCCACUGAUUCCUCCCACAGCCUAGGAGUCCAAAUGGGGCUUGAAAGGAGGAGGCCAGUUACUUUACAGCAGAAGGAAACUGUAUACCCUCCUUAGUGGCUUACCUGGCUACAUGGCCUAGCUUUUAGGAGCAGAAUAGGGCACUGACUAGGAACCUAGGCAGGGUACGCAGGCUCCUUUGUUUAAGUAAAGCCAUUGGUGAGAAGAUGGGAGAGGAACACCUGCUCACCCUCUGCUGCAGCUCAAAGCAAAACAACCCAGGAAGUGACCCAUAUUCCUCCCUCUUUCUUUCCUCAUUGUUCUUAAAGGAAGGAAGAUACUCCUUUCCUUCAGAAUGAAACUUUUCUCUUGGAAGAAAAAAGUUCCUGUUCUCAAGCUGAAGGAUGUGUUAAUUUUGAAAAACAGAGUAAUGGAGUUCCCAUUCCCUCUCCCACUACAGUCCCAACUCUUUCAGUCUUUGCAUAAAAUCCACUCCAGUGUUCCUUCCUUCCGGAAAUACAAGUCACGGGCCUGCCAGGGAGAUGAGUUAUCGAGUAUGGUGGUGACUCACAAAGGUAGAAGAAAGAGCUAAAAAGUUCUUUCUUUUCCAGUUAGUUCAGGUGUCUCAGAGAAUCCCCCCCCCCUUAGGAUGGGCCUCCUACCCCCUCCCUCAGGGCCAGCAGGGGAAGGGGCAGGGUUGGCUUUCCCUUUCAUCCUGCCCUAGCUGAGGCUGGAGACAAGAUUCUUCCCAGGUUUACCCAAUUUGCCCAAAACAGAGCUGACUAUUCUGAGGGAUAAAGUCCUGGCUUUUGUUACUGGGCAGCAUUGGAUUGCCCAAUUAUUGCGUCCCAGAAAGAAGUCUUCAAGUGGGACUUUUAAUACAGGAACCCAUAUGUAUAGAGGGGAUCAGAUGAUUUGUCAGGCAACUUUAAACAAGUCAUCUCCAAACUUGGUCAUUCUCCAAUAUUGAGACUGAACUUCGAAAUCAUCGGGGCUUUCCAGAAGGGUUUAGAAAAAAGAAGUCGGGUGAGGCCUGUCAAACCAGGUGUGUCAUGGAGAUGAGGACAGGCAAAGACAGGUGAGCUGGGAGCCCUUCUGUGCAGUGUCUCGGCAGCAUCACCUCAAAGGUCGUCAGAAAUUGGGGAGCAGUGUGCCCACGCGAGCUGGGGCAGAGGGCUGGAAGUCCCGUGAGAGGAGAAAACCCUGGUGAGGAAGGAGCUGGCUAGGACUGCGCUGGGGAGGAGUUUGGUCAGACCUGAAAACCGCCCCAGCGGGGAAAGCGGCUACAAGCGCAGCGCCGCUGGGAGCCUGGGCGCUGGGUGAGCUCUCUGCUGGGAAGAGUGGGCCGUCGGACUUACUGAAACGCUAGCGGAUCAAGUUCCAGAUCAAUGAAAUCUGGGUCUACACGUUUACGUUAUUGUUGCCAGCAUUAAUGCUCUUUUAAUCUUCUAAACAUUAUCAGCAUCGAUCUCCCUCCAUAUACACAUUUGUUUGAGAAAGUGACAGAACCACAGUGGAAAGGCUGGAAUAAAAAUAAAUGUGUGGCCUCUAGAGUGGAGGGCGCCCAGCAUCCUGGUAUGUUUCUCACCUUGGCUCCCUCCCUUCCUCUUGUCCCUCCUAGGCCGCCCACUCCCAUCCACCCAAACACUUGUUAGGAAGACAUUCUCCCGCCUGCACCACACUGCACCGCACCGCACCGCACCACACCGGGACCUGACCAAGCAAGGAAGGUAGCAGGCUUUUCAAUUAUUAAUCCGGCAUACAUAUCAUGUCGUCUGUUCCUUACAGCGAGGGUUGCCUUAGGCCUCUCCAGCCGAGAUCCCGGACUAAACAGCAGGGAGAGGGCUGGGCCCGGUGCCUGAAAAGCAAGAGAUGGGUGGGGAUGGGGGGUGUGCUACAAAGGAAGUCCCCUAAUUUAUCUCUUGGCUUUGGAGACAGCGGGGGGCCCAACCUAGCCAAGGACAUCCCCAGCGCAGCAGGGAGCAGGCAUGAAUGCAGUGCCCCUGCCCGGAGCUACAGCACACUGCCCAGGCUGGCCAAGCUCCACAGAGGCAGGCGGCAGGUGGGACAUCUUGGAUUAGUUCAGGGCCUUCAGCGUCUGGAGUAGACUGGCAGCCUGGCCCUGAGACCUACUUCCUCCAGAAAGCUGCAGGUCUGUCAGCGGUGGAGAUGGAAAGCCGGCUCCAAGCAGGCCACCAGCGAGUUAGGGCCUCACGGGAGGGGAGUGGAAACCCAGCAGUGAGUGUGGGGGCUUCAUGGGGCACACCUUUAGGUUCUUGCUUGGAUUCACUGGGUUCCUCCUUGCUCUCAUUUGUGCUUAGUGCAGAGACCUCUCAGGCUCAAAGCUGGACUUGUCUGCUUGAAUCUGCAGGACUCUGUUCUUGCCGCCUCUUGCCAGGCUAAUAAAAACCUGUCUCACCUUGGGAACCCCAGAAGUCCCAAUGGGUGGGCUUCCAAAUAACGGCUGCCCUGGCUGCUUUUUCUGAAGGAAAUUAUGCAUUUGGGGUUCAUUUCUCAGAAAUCUGGUGUCAGAACUCUGAGUUUCCCCAGUCUUCUCCCUCCCCUUUAAAGUGCCACUCCGGGCUUGGCUAGCCUGAAGCAGUGGGAUACAACUGGAAACGCAGGACAGGAGACACCUGCCUUGGUACUGUUGGAAGUAAGGUGCUUGGUCGAAGGGUAGGAUUUGACAGCACUGGCCGAAUCAGACUUCUGACUCCGAGGCCCCUCAAUCCCUGUCUGCUGGGAACUCUAGCAGGACCCAGAGGAACCCAAAGUGAGAAAAAGGAAAGGAAGUAAAAGGAAAGACAGGUCUGAGCAAAAUGGGGGCUGGGCAGGUACUGGGCUGGGCCCUGGUGGCUGCCGGUAGGGAUUUCGAUGCAUAGCCCUGGAGGAAAAGGCCUCUGCCUUUCUUCUCCAUUUGCUCCUGUACCUUAGUCCUCCUGAGCACACAAUACCUACUUACCAGUCAAGUUUCUGCGUCACUUUCUGAAGAGACUGAUCUACUGACCCCAAACUGAAAAGCCUUCUGUGUAAUAAUAACCACUCAACACACUUGUAGUUGCUGAUAAAAUGGCCAGAUAAAAAGGCUAAAGCUCUUGUCCCUUUUCAACCCAGGGUAAUAAAACAGACACACAUUUGAAUGCUUGAGCAAAGCGGAGUCCUCAGCCGCUAAUUGUCUGCUCCCGGAGGAGGCGUUUUGCCUCCUCCAGAAAAGCCUGGCAUGUGGGCAAUGCUUUUGGACGCCUGCCCUGUGGAGUUGCCUCUAGAACUCUCUGGAUGCUACAUGCUUCAUCACCCACCCCACCAAUGCUCAAGGUCAUUGUGCAACCUAAUAGUAAACAAUCACUUUCCACAUUGCUUUUGGACUUAUACAGGCAGAAGGCACAUGUUUUCAAAAGCUAUGUCCUUUGCGCCUUUGCGUGACAGGCAUGAGGGGGCGGCAGCGCCUGAGAGAUCGGGUGGAGUAGAAUAGCUGUCAUUCUGCUUUUAACUGUACCCCCCAGAGCAGCCGCUGCAAGUUCUUUCUGGCUCCUGUGUGCGCAGUGGAAAACCAGCCAGCGGGGCUGGAGCUGGCCUAAAAGGCCUGUGGCAGUUGGGGGGGGUUUCUAAAACAAAGAGGAGCAGUACUACAUUGAAUUGUCAGUGUCAGCCUAUUUCACUUCCAUACUCUCUCCUCAGUUGGCUUUAUCUUGCCAGGAACCAAGAACAAAUCUGUGACGACCGUAGGAGAGAUGAAGACAGAGAGAGAGAGAGAGAGAGAGAGAGAGAGAGAGAGAGAGAGAGAGAGAGAGACAGAGAGAGAGAGACAGAGAGAGAGAGAGCGAGAGCGAGCGCAGGAGACUUCUAAAUCAACUUAAAAGUAUUGGCAGCCACAGAUUUGGGAAAGGUCUUUGGCAGAAAGAUGGUCUUCACCUUCUUCAAUCACUGAGGGGUGCUUACUGAGUGGAGAUCAAAAUCCCUCAACAGUGGGCCAAGGAGAAAGGCUGUCAGAACGGAAACGCCCCCUCACAAAGUUAGAGUGCAUAUGCUGUCUGUCAUAUCCCACAGCCCUGUGCGGGUUCAGCGAGGCAAGAAAAGCUCCGGGGAGCAGAGUGGAAGCCUGGAGCCUGAGCUCGCAGCCUGGAAGCGCUUGGUGUGCUUCUGGUUUGCAAAAGACCUUUGGGCUACGUAAAUCAAUGCCACUGUGAAUUGUUCUUUCCCAGCACAGCCAGUACUGAACCAGCCCCCUACACACACACACACACACACACACACACACACACACACACACACACACACACACACACGGUGAGGGAAGCCUUCUAUCCCGGCUUGCAGUAAGAUAUUGUGUGUCCUCCUCAGUUGGGGAUCUGGACACUUUGGACCCACCUCUGGGUCCGUGGCUCAGUACCGGGGGCAGAGCAGUAGCCAUGCGCGCAGAGCGCACACUAUGUACCAGUCGAAGCUACUGCCGCGUCUUUAGCCCUUGCUCUUGCACCCGCCGCCCACAGGGGAGGUUUCUGUGCUCCUAGAACAAUAGAGGGUUGUACCUCGCAGCUUGGCUGCCAGAGGAGGCACAAAGAGCCGAGCCCGCUGCAGAACAAUGUAACCGGCGCGUCGACCCGUCCCCUCCCGUGGGCAGCCAGCCCUCCCUGCCACCCGGCUAAGCGCACACAAUCAACGCCCGCUUAAUGCAAAGCAGUGGAGCUUGCAGCCUACAGCUGAGGUGUAUUAACUAACCUGCAUCUUAAUUUCUGAGCUCUUAGCCUCUGCCAGACUCCCCUCUCACCCCAGCAAAUCCCAGUCAACACUAGAAGGCAAGGGCGGCUGGCGCGUGAGGCAGUAUGCUUUCCUGCUAUCUCCCUCCCUCUCCUCUCUCGUCCUCCCAAAGCGGUGAAUAUGAAUCUACCAACCUUCCUCCUUGCAUCCUCCCCUUGCUGUAGAUACUGAGAACGGAGCUGGCCAAAGCCAGCUGUUCUAGUCAAGACAAAUCAGAAAGUCCCUGCGCCAACACCAAGGCAGAUGGGCUUUGGGAGUGGUGCUGUAUCCUGGCCGCUAGUUCCCCAGCCGGCGGCAAGGCUAUGCCUCCUGCCAACAGCCAAAGAAUUUUGCCCGAUAUGAAGGGUAGGAGGCGGGCGGAGAGAGCGCUUUUUCUCUCCCAAGAAGCAAAGCUCCUCAACUGCCUCUUAGACACUAGGAAGCUUAGAAAACUGAAAUGUGUUGUCUCAGAGUUCAAGUGCAGAAGGUUUAGAGCCAUUCCCGGUUUUUGAUGCGUCCGAUUGCGCGCCCCCAUCCCGUGUCGCACUGCUAGGGAAAAGUCAAAAAUCGAGGGCAAAGGUUGGCACGCGGGGAGGAAGGUGAACGAAAUCAGGGGAUGGCCAUAAAUGAAAGCUCAAGGACUAGAACAGAGGAAAGAACAGGAGGAAAAGUGGGGGGAAAAAGAAAGAAAAGGGAAAAGAGAAGGAAAGAAAAUGUAAGAAAAACAAAGAUGCAAAGAAAGAGGAAAUGUGUAGGGAAGAGGAAAAGAGAACCCAGAGAAGUGACUGGGAGCGCUGACUCGGGCCCUACAAGCGGGGGGGGGGGGUGGGGGGUGGGGGGGAGCCUAUCCCCUGCCUGGCUCUUAGCUGCACCCUGGGCUUACCUGCCAGGCGUAAGGCAGACAUGCGCUGGAACUCGGGCUCCUGCAGCCACUUCCACAUCCUGCGGAAGGUCUCCUACCAGAUUUGAGUUUACUCCACGGUUUUGGAUUCCGGAGCAGGUCGGAGAGAGUCCCCUGAGACCGGCAUAGCACCCUCUGAGCGAAGAUCGCCUGUGGGAUGCUGUAGCGCUUCAGCUCUGCGGUGAUGCGCUGGGCAACCUCUUUGGUGUUGAUCUCCUCCAACUGGCCCGACGUGGCUACCUGCGAACCCGACGAGGACGACGGGGGCCGCUCGCGGCUGGGGGCCAGCACUGGCCCGUGGGACUGAGGGUGGCUCGGGUGGUGCAGGCCAUUGAGGUGGGACAUCAUGGCAGCGGGCGGGGAGCCGAGGCCCUGGGACAGGUGUUGCUCACCUCGGGUCAGCAUGGCAGUGUGGUGCGCGUCGAAGUUGGGGCUGAGCAUUUUGUCGUGGCCCGGGGACCGUAGUUGGGCAGGCUCUGCUGCGCAUUGUGGAGGCCGCCUAGCCCGUUGCCCAGCGGAGUGGCAGCCAGCGGGGACAGGCUCUGGCUCAUGCCGGGCAUCUCCUUGUAGGGGCUGUAAAGGUUGUUCAUGGCCGGGAGCCCGCGCUCAUCGCGCAUGAGGGUGAAGCUGCCGCUGACGUUGCCCGACAGACGCUGGUGGUGGUGGUGGUGGUGGUGGUGAGGGUGGUGGUGAGGGUGCGGGUGGUGGAACUUGUCCGAGACGGUGGAGAUGGGUGGCAGCGGCUGGAGCGGCGUCAGCGUGGUGUAAGUGUUGCUCAUGCCCAUGCCGGGCGGCGACGAGUCGCAGGACAUGCUCAUGGCGUGGUGCAGCGGGAUGGAGAGCCUCGGGCCGGUAGUCGCUGCCAUCCAGGAUCGAGGCCAUGCUGGUGACCAUGGCCGAGCGCGACGCCGCCGCCGCCGCCGCCGCCGCGGUGCCCAGCUUCCUGGUGCGCCGUGGGCGGCGGCGGCGGGCCACGCAGCGAGCUGGCGGCGCCGCGGCCCGCGUGGUGGGGGCUGGGGCUGGCCAGCAGCUCCUGUUCAUGGCCGGGGCCCCCGCCGCCGCCCCCGCCGCCCCCGCCGCCACCCCCGCCGCUGCCGCCGCCGGCCGGCCCGUGCAAAGUGCCCAGACUUUCCAUUGUCAGCUCCGGGUUCAUGGCGCAGCCUUCUAGGUCUUUGGUGAGGCAUCGAUAGGCGGUGUAGGCAGCCUUCAUUCAGUCCAUCGGGGCCCGGGGGCGGCGGGGGCGGCGGGGGCGGCCGGUGGGCUGGCGAGGGGCGCGUGGUGGGGCCUGGCCGCGGGCGCGGGGCGGGCGCGGGUGCGAGGGAGUGUGUGCAGGGGGAGCGUGCGUGCGGGUGUGUGCCCCGGGCUGCGGGCGGGCAGGCGCGCCCGGGGUGGGGGCGGGGGUGGGGGGCAGACGGGGCGUGCGUGCGGGGAGGGGGGCGGGGAGGGAGGAAGGGAUCACCGGGCCCCGCCGCUCUGGCCAGCGCGCUGCCUCGCCAUGUCCGAGCCCGCUCCGGCGCCGACGUCUUCUGUUUGGGUUAGCGGGAGCUGUCCAGAGGGCUCUGGGCUCGCUGGGGCAGCCAACCUACCCUCCCGGACCC